rnacentral:rRNA from 1 species
CAGACGAACGCUGGCGGCAUGGAUUAGGCAUGCAAGUCGAACGAAGCAGCAAUGCUUAGUGGCGCAAGGGUGAGGAACACGUGAGUGGCCUACCCGCAAGUUUGGAACAGCUCCUGGAAACGGGAAUUAAUACCGGAUGUGAUCAUGAAGCUGCAUGGUUUCAUGAUUAAAGCAGCAAUGCGCUUGCGGAUGGGCUCGCGUCCCAUUAGCUAGUUGGUGAGGUAACGGCCCACCAAGGCCAUGAUGGGUAGCUGGUCUGAGAGGACGACCAGCCACACUGGGACUGAGAACUGCCCAGACUCCUACGGGAGGCUGCAGUCGAGAAUUUUGGGCAAUGGACGAAAGUCUUGACCCAGCAAUGCCGCGUGCGGGAUGAAGGUCUUCGGAUUGUAAACCGCUGUUUGGAGGGACGAAAAUUGACGGUACUUCCAGAGGAAGCCACGGCUAACUACGUGCCAGCAGCCGC